UACGGGGGGGGCAAGCGUUGUUCGGAAUUACUGGGCGUAAAGGGCGCGUAGGCGGUUUGCUAAGUUGGAUGUGAAAACUCUGGGCUUAACCCAGAGCCUGCAUCCAAAACUGGCAAACUUGAGUACUGGAGGGGAAAGCGGAGUUCCUGGUGUAGCGGUGAAAUGCGUAGAUAUCGGGAGGAACACCGGUGGCGAAGGCGGCUUUCUGGACAGUAACUGACGCUGAGGCGCGAAAGCUAGGGGAGCAAACAGG
rnacentral:rRNA from 1 species